GCCGGUAGUCUGCUGGCGUUGCAAAUCUGCAUUUCACACUCGUUUGGUAAGGAAUCCUGAAGUUGUACGGAAAAUUCCAUCAUGUCAAACGAAAUCGUUUACAAGCGUCGAAAAUCUGUUGUAAUUCAGCGAACGAAAAAGAGAACAUCGUCCAACGAUGAUGCAUUCGAUCGAAGAUACAAGGCUGCUGUUAAGGCCUAUCACAACUACAUGGAGGGAUUAAACCUGAUUCUGAAGGAGAAAGAAGCAAAAAUUUGCAAAAUUCUUCGUAAGCGUAGCACGCCGCUCUGGUUUCAAGAGCUGACCGACGAGCAGUGCGCCAUCUGUGACCAGCUGCUCGACGCUAUCGCGGACGAUACGGAUGAGCGUACGUUCCAUCGCACAUCGGCACUACUCCGAAAGCUAGGCGUUUAUCCGAUUUGCCCCAAAAGAGUCCUACGCACCUCGCUGAUUCUCUGCAAUGGGAAUGAUCUGUCCUUCAUCUGGCUGCUGCUCGAGCUACAUUACAUACGCAGUCCCGGGCAGGACAAUAAUUCCCCCCGGGCAAAGGAUUAUACGAUCAACGAACGGUUGCUUCUGUCGGCGAUUGCUCACUUGGAUAUGAUGACCACGUUGCGAGGAUUGGAGAAAGUGCUGCCUCCAAAGAAACCUACGCGUCCGACCUCAGUCGCAGCGAGCGUUGCUGAAACAUCCCAUCGAAAGUCCCCUUUCCCUCGGACCAAAUCUCCAUAUCUGCAACGGCAAAAGGUGUUCGUAACGGGUUUCACCGUUCCGGUGAAGAUCCAACCUCAUCGGGACGAAUUUCUUGGCCGGUAUGCAAAGUACCGCGAUCCGGAGCACAUUAUACGCAACGAAGAGUCCCGUUGGUUUACGCGGUGCGGAGGAUCCCGGCGCAACCUGUACUCCAGCGAGUACUACCUCUCUGCGGACGAUUCCCAGUACAUGUGCUCGAGCAGCAACUGCUCGAUCAACAGUGCCGGUGCGGUCGUGAUGGACCUGUUGAAUGACCACAUCCGUAACAUGGUGGCACGGGUUGAAUGUUGCCAGAUGCUCUGCCCCAAACACCACCAACUGGAUGAGCAAGGAUCGAAGGUGCUGGAAAUACUGCAGCGAAACACAUCCGCUAAACAGGUGCUCAUGCAAGCGGUCCGUGCCCAGUGUGUGCAGUGGGCCGACGAGGAGCAACAGAACGACGCCAAACGCCAGGUGGAGAGUUUGCUGAAGCGCCUGGCGGACGAGGCGGUAACGAUGGCGAUCCUGGAACCGACCAGCGAUUGUCCCGAGUGUUGGGAGCGCUUCGAAGUGCAGAAGAAGAUGCUGAAGGGACAAAAGUGUAACUGCACAGAGUCGGAAGGUUCGGACACGCUGGUACCGGAGUCGAUGGCCAAUGUGGACCAGCGUUACUUUAAGUUCUGCGACAAACCGGUACCGUACGAGUUUGACCAUGAUAAAAUAUUUUACGGAGAUGAGCGGGAUGAGCCCACGUGUCCGAUCAAGUGCGCCAUACAGCGUGCGCUCGGUGUGGACCAAACCGGCCGGAUUAAGGACACGGACAUUGACCAAGCGAUCGAGCGGUUUGCCAAGAUGACGUGGGAAGAAGAGGUGAAACAUUGGCAGGAACGCACCAAGGCAACGGAUGAUGACCACGAAUCGCCAUCGGUGACGACGGAUCCGCUGGACGUUAAAUACAUCGAGGCGACCGAUGUGACCGAUCUACAGGAUCUGUUGAAGCGCGCUCUUCGCCGACUAACCGAAAAUCCAAUGUACCUGUUAGCUACCUUCCCUUGCGUCGAUCAGCUACCGAUCCUGCAGGCCUGGAUUCGGGAUCGCUACGACGUGCCGAUCGAUCCGCGGGAAAGGGAAGCUGCUCUGCUGGAGAGCAAACACUUCUGGAACUAUCUCAUACCGCGUGCCACUUCCGUGCGGUGGCCAUCGCGCAAGGAUACUGGACUGCAGCUGCAGGUUAACUGGAACUACAAAACCAAGCUGGAAACGACGGCGGCCAGUAUGAUGUACAAAUUUUACCGAAAGUUUAAAAACGUUCAAAUACAGGAAGGACGCAUCUGGUGGACGAGCAUGGUACCGUACCACUCCGGGCCGGACAGAUUCCGGCAAACGUUUUCGGCCUACUUUCCCAACUGUGAGCCGGCAAUGGUACCGCAAGUACGUCCGUGGCGUCCAUUCCAGUAUCGGGUGAUGCCAACGGCGAAGGGUACGAACAGCAGAACCAGAUUCUGAGCCAUUGGAGUUCGAGUUGAAAGUAAAGCAUUCGUCGCUCGAAAAACAUGCAUUUUCGAUAAGAAUGAUUUGUGCGAACUCCAAACUAAAAAUCUCUGCAACAUUAGUGUGUAGACGCAAAGGGAUGGAUGCUUUUCCCUACUCCAAGUUAUACCAUCGGCGCGGAAAGAGCGCCUAAAGCAACGCGUAACCACAGCACCGCGCGUGUGUCGCUCGGACGUGAACGAAUGACUGAAAGUUUGCUCGCGCCAGCAGCAUACUUUACACCGCUCUACCACCGCCCGACCCAAGACGCGCACAGUAACAACAUUCGCGAGCCUGAUUGGUAAUAAGCCGGAACAACAAAACGGUCGGGCGACGGCACGCGCUGCUAACAGCAAAGCCGGCAAUCGAUGACGCGAACCUUUCAAGAGAGUGAAUCGCGCGAUUUGCGGUCAAACGAAAUGCGGAUUUUUCACUAAACCGGAGAUGGAAAAACAACAAUUACACCAAACACCUUUACAUCGAACUAGAUAAAUGACGAGGGGGAAUUAAUGUUUACACUUUCACACUGUCAAAUAUCACUCAAAUUUCAUAUUUUACGAGUUGUAUUACGAUUGCAUGCCAAUUUGUCGUGGAAAAAGUUGAGUGAAAA